GACGAACGCUGGCGGCGUGCUUAACACAUGCAAGUCGAACGGAAAGGCCCCCAUCUUGGUGGGGGUGCUCGAGUGGCGAACGGGUGAGUAACACGUGGGUGAUCUGCCCUGUACUUCGGGAUAAGCUUGGGAAACUGGGUCUAAUACCGGAUAGGACCAUGGUUUAGUGUCUCAUGGUGGAAAGAUUAUUGUUUUGGUGCAGGAUGAGCUCGCGGCCUAUCAGCUUGUUGGUGGGGUAAUGGCCUACCAAGGCGUCGACGGGUAGCCGGCCUGAGAGGGUGGACGGCCACAUUGGGACUGAGAUACGGCCCAGACUCCUACGGGAGGCAGCAGUGGGGAAUAUUACACAAUGGGCGCAAGCCUGAUGCAGCGACGCCGCGUGGGGGAUGACGGCCUCCGGGUUGUAAACUCCUUUCGUUAGGGACGAAGCCACGCUUGUUGGGUGUGGUGACGGUACCUUUGUUAAGAAGCACCGGCUAACUACGUG
rnacentral:rRNA from 1 species